AACCUCUCAGGGUUGCACUUGGAGAGUUUCCAGUACUCUACCAGUCUCGGCUAUGGGAGGGAAAGUCAAGCAGAGGCAUAUCCAUUCCAUUCUUAGCUUGGGCAAUGGCUAGUGAGUGGAAAACGAUUUGCUCCAAGU
rnacentral:snoRNA from 1 species